CCUACGGGAGGCAGCAGUGAGGAAUAUUGCUCAAUGGGCGGAAGCCUGAACCAGCCAAGUAGCGUGCAGGAUGACGGCCCUACGGGUUGUAAACUGCUUUUAUACGGGAAUAACGCGCCUUACGUGUAGGGCUUUGCAUGUACCGUAUGAAGAAGGACCGGCUAAUUCCGUGCCAGCAGCCGCGGUAAUACGGAGGGUCCGGGCGUUAUCCGGGGUUAUUGGGUUUAAAGGGAGCGUAGGCCGCAUGUCAAGCGUGCUGUGAAAUGUCCGGGCUCAACCCGGGCAUUGCAGUGGAAACUGGCGUGCUUGAGUGCGCGGAAGGCAGGCGGAAUUCGUCGUGUAGCGGUGAAAUGUUUAGAUAUGACGAAGAACCCCGAUUGCGAAGGCAGCUUGCUGGAGCGGAACUGACGCUGAUGCUCGAAAGCGUGGGUAUCGAACAGGAUUAGAUACCCUUGUAGUC
rnacentral:rRNA from 1 species